GUGGGGAAUCUUCCGCAAUGGACGAAAGUCUGACGGAGCAACGCCGCGUGAGUGAAGAAGGUUUUCGGAUUGUAAAACUCUGUCUUUUGGGACGAACGGUCUCUAUGUGAAUAAUGUAGAGGAUUGACGGUACCAAAGGAGGAAGCCCCGGCUAACUACGUGCCAGCAGCCGCGGUAAUACGUAGGGGGCAAGCGUUGUCCGGAAUUAUUGGGCGUAAAGCGCGCGCAGGUGGGAUCUUAAGUCCAUUUUUAAAGUUCGGAGCUCAACUCCGUGAUGGGAUGGAAACUGGGAUUCUUGAGUACCGGAGAGGAAAGCGGAAUUCCCCGUGUAGCGGUGAAAUGCGUAGAUAUGGGGAGGAACACCAGUGGCGAAGGCGGCUUUCUGGACGGUGUCUGACACUGAGGCGCGAAAGCCAGGGGAGCGAACGGGAUUAGAAACCCUGGUAGUCC
rnacentral:rRNA from 1 species